GGGUUGUGAGGUUAAGCGACUAAGCGUACACGGUGGAUGCCCUGGCAGUCAGAGGCGAUGAAGGACGUGCUAAUCUGCGAUAAGCGUCGGUAAGGUGAUAUGAACCGUUAUAACCGGCGAUUUCCGAAUGGGGAAACCCAGUGUGUUUCGACACACUAUCAUUAACUGAAUCCAUAGGUUAAUGAGGCGAACCGGGGGAACUGAAACAUCUAAGUACCCCGAGGAAAAGAAAUCAACCGAGAUUCCCCCAGUAGCGGCGAGCGAACGGGGAGGAGCCCAGAGCCUGAAUCAGUGUGUGUGUUAGUGGAAGCGUCUGGAAAGGCGCGCGAUACAGGGUGACAGCCCCGUACACAAAAAUGCACAUGCUGUGAGCUCGAUGAGUAGGGCGGGACACGUGGUAUCCUGUCUGAAUAUGGGGGGACCAUCCUCCAAGGCUAAAUACUCCUGACUGACCGAUAGUGAACCAGUACCGUGAGGGAAAGGCGAAAAGAACCCCGGCGAGGGGAGUGAAAAAGAACCUGAAACCGUGUACGUACAAGCAGUGGGAGCCUCUUUAUGGGGUGACUGCGUACCUUUUGUAUAAUGGGUCAGCGACUUAUAUUCUGUAGCAAGGUUAACCGAAUAGGGGAGCCGAAGGGAAACCGAGUCUUAACUGGGCGUUAAGUUGCAGGGUAUAGACCCGAAACCCGGUGAUCUAGCCAUGGGCAGGUUGAAGGUUGGGUAACACUAACUGGAGGACCGAACCGACUAAUGUUGAAAAAUUAGCGGAUGACUUGUGGCUGGGGGUGAAAGGCCAAUCAAACCGGGAGAUAGCUGGUUCUCCCCGAAAGCUAUUUAGGUAGCGCCUCGUGAAUUCAUCUCCGGGGGUAGAGCACUGUUUCGGCAAGGGGGUCAUCCCGACUUACCAACCCGAUGCAAACUGCGAAUACCGGAGAAUGUUAUCACGGGAGACACACGGCGGGUGCUAACGUCCGUCGUGAAGAGGGAAACAACCCAGACCGCCAGCUAAGGUCCCAAAGUCAUGGUUAAGUGGGAAACGAUGUGGGAAGGCCCAGACAGCCAGGAUGUUGGCUUAGAAGCAGCCAUCAUUUAAAGAAAGCGUAAUAGCUCACUGGUCGAGUCGGCCUGCGCGGAAGAUGUAACGGGGCUAAACCAUGCACCGAAGCUGCGGCAGCGACGCUUAUGCGUUGUUGGGUAGGGGAGCGUUCUGUAAGCCUGCGAAGGUGUGCUGUGAGGCAUGCUGGAGGUAUCAGAAGUGCGAAUGCUGACAUAAGUAACGAUAAAGCGGGUGAAAAGCCCGCUCGCCGGAAGACCAAGGGUUCCUGUCCAACGUUAAUCGGGGCAGGGUGAGUCGACCCCUAAGGCGAGGCCGAAAGGCGUAGUCGAUGGGAAACAGGUUAAUAUUCCUGUACUUGGUGUUACUGCGAAGGGGGGACGGAGAAGGCUAUGUUGGCCGGGCGACGGUUGUCCCGGUUUAAGCGUGUAGGCUGGUUUUCCAGGCAAAUCCGGAAAAUCAAGGCUGAGGCGUGAUGACGAGGCACUACGGUGCUGAAGCAACAAAUGCCCUGCUUCCAGGAAAAGCCUCUAAGCAUCAGGUAACAUCAAAUCGUACCCCAAACCGACACAGGUGGUCAGGUAGAGAAUACCAAGGCGCUUGAGAGAACUCGGGUGAAGGAACUAGGCAAAAUGGUGCCGUAACUUCGGGAGAAGGCACGCUGAUAUGUAGGUGAAGCGACUUGCUCGUGGAGCUGAAAUCAGUCGAAGAUACCAGCUGGCUGCAACUGUUUAUUAAAAACACAGCACUGUGCAAACACGAAAGUGGACGUAUACGGUGUGACGCCUGCCCGGUGCCGGAAGGUUAAUUGAUGGGGUUAGCGGUAACGCGAAGCUCUUGAUCGAAGCCCCGGUAAACGGCGGCCGUAACUAUAACGGUCCUAAGGUAGCGAAAUUCCUUGUCGGGUAAGUUCCGACCUGCACGAAUGGCGUAAUGAUGGCCAGGCUGUCUCCACCCGAGACUCAGUGAAAUUGAACUCGCUGUGAAGAUGCAGUGUACCCGCGGCAAGACGGAAAGACCCCGUGAACCUUUACUAUAGCUUGACACUGAACAUUGAGCCUUGAUGUGUAGGAUAGGUGGGAGGCUUUGAAGUGUGGACGCCAGUCUGCAUGGAGCCGACCUUGAAAUACCACCCUUUAAUGUUUGAUGUUCUAACGUUGGCCCCUGAUCGGGGUUGCGGACAGUGUCUGGUGGGUAGUUUGACUGGGGCGGUCUCCUCCUAAAGAGUAACGGAGGAGCACGAAGGUUGGCUAAUCCUGGUCGGACAUCAGGAGGUUAGUGCAAUGGCAUAAGCCAGCUUGACUGCGAGCGUGACGGCGCGAGCAGGUGCGAAAGCAGGUCAUAGUGAUCCGGUGGUUCUGAAUGGAAGGGCCAUCGCUCAACGGAUAAAAGGUACUCCGGGGAUAACAGGCUGAUACCGCCCAAGAGUUCAUAUCGACGGCGGUGUUUGGCACCUCGAUGUCGGCUCAUCACAUCCUGGGGCUGAAGUAGGUCCCAAGGGUAUGGCUGUUCGCCAUUUAAAGUGGUACGCGAGCUGGGUUUAGAACGUCGUGAGACAGUUCGGUCCCUAUCUGCCGUGGGCGCUGGAGAACUGAGGGGGGCUGCUCCUAGUACGAGAGGACCGGAGUGGACGCAUCACUGGUGUUCGGGUUGUCAUGCCAAUGGCACUGCCCGGUAGCUAAAUGCGGAAGAGAUAAGUGCUGAAAGCAUCUAAGCACGAAACUUGCCCCGAGAUGAGUUCUCCCUGAGACUUUAAGUCUCCUGAAGGAACGUUGAAGACGACGACGUUGAUAGGCCGGGUGUGUAAGCGCAGCGAUGCGUUGAGCUAACCGGUACUAAUGAACCGUGAGGCUUAACCUUACAACGCCGAAGGUGUUU
rnacentral:rRNA from 1 species